rnacentral:rRNA from 1 species
CCUACGGGUGGCUGCAGUGGGUAAUAUUGGUCAAUGGGCGUAAGCCUGAACCAGCCAAGUCGCGUGAGGGAUGAAGGUUCUAUGGAUCGUAAACCUCUUUUAUAAGGGAAUAAAGUGUGGGACGUGUCCUAUUUUGUAUGUACCUUAUGAAUAAUGAUCGGCUAACUCCGUGCCAGCAGCCGCGGUAAUACGGAGGAUCCGAGCGUUAUCCGGAUUUAUUGGGUUUAACGGGUGCGUAGGCGGCCUUUUAAGUCAGCUGUGAAAGUCUGUGGCUCAACCAUAGAAUUGCCGUUGAAACUGGGGGGCUUGAGUAUGGUUGAGGCAGGCGGAAUGCGUGGUGUAGCGGUGAAAUGCUUAGAUAUCACGCAGAACCCCGAUUGCGAAGGCAGCUUGCCAAGCCAUGACUGACGCUGAGGCACGAAAGCGUGGGGAUCAAACAGGAUUAGAUACCCUAGUAGUC